rnacentral:misc_RNA from 1 species
UUUUAUUUUUGGAAAACAUUUUCAGAACACUCUCUAGCUUGGAAAAAUCUUAGUUAGCUGUCACUGCGAUUUACGUGAAAAUAAAUCUUUGCAAAUUUUACCUAGCAAACCAAAUAGCGUAGACUAGAGAAGCAGCUUAGAGAACUAUGGGGAAUUCAAGCUCAACAAAGAGAAAGGACUGGGCGAGGACUGGACAGUACAGUUCAGAUAUUGAACCUAUAGAGCGAACCCGAUCUACCUCCCCCUUCCCUACUUUUCUACGAGCUAAAUCAGAAAGACUGCAAAAUAAACCGGAUGUGUGCGAUGUACCGGCGAAACCAGGCAAAGCUAUUGUCACCCUAACUAAUUUACAAAGUGGGAAACCCAGUGGCAACUGUGUUACAGAUUCUAUUUAUCUAGACUGGAGGCCGCCUGAUCAUGAUGGAGGACGGCGAAUCCUGGGUUAUAUUGUGGAAAUGUAUGAUCUACCUACAGGAAACUGGAUUACUGUCACAGAAACAGAAGGAAAUCAGUGUAGAUCUGUUCUCGACAAUAUUCUUUGUGGAAUUAUGUACAGGUUUCGAAUCCGAGCAUUCAAUGAAGUGGGGAGCUCGGUUCCUGGAAUACCUUCAGAUUCUUUUGUAAUAGAUACCCCUGGCGUUCAUAUAGCUCCUUAUUUCAUCCUUUGUCCCCCUAAUGAGGUUUCAAAGCUUGUUCAUGACACAGUACAAUUCCGGGCUAAAGCGUUGGGCACACCAACCCCCAAUAUUCUGUGGCAGAAGGAUGAUGAACCUAUUUUUGUUACACAGGGGAUUGAUAUAGAAUCUGAACCGGAUGGGAGUACACUGACAGUACACAAUCUACAGCUGGAGGAUGACGGGGUGAUUGAGUGCAUAGCAGUAAACCACGUGGGGAAAGCAAUAUCUUCAACCCGGCUCUGUGUAGUUUGUCCUCCUAAGUUUAAAACCGGGAACAUACCUUCACAGUUUACUUUUAGAGUUGAGGAUAUGAUCAGGUUAAAACUCCCAAUUGAGGCUCAGCCUGAUCCGUUGUUAACAUUACUGAAGGAUGAAAUUGUUCAAGAUAACUUCCAUUGUCGAGCAAUACUUAGGGAUAACAAUGUGAUUGUCAAGAUUAACAGUGCAAAGGAAACAGAUUCUGGAGAGUAUCGAAUAGAAGCGGACAACGGGAUGGCAAUUGCUUCCUUCUCCUUCAGUAUAAAUGUUGAGGUGCCCCCUUCAUCUCCUUCUAUGCCUGAUAUUCUUGAUGUGGCUCCAACAGGAGAGCUAACUUUAGCUUGGCAACCCCCUGAUUGUGCAGUAGAUCACUAUAUUGUAGAAUACUAUAGAGAUCAGUGGCAGCUUUGGCUUAGAAUGAAGACAUGUCUUGAUACAGUAACAGUGAUAACAGAUUUGAUUCCAGGAAGUAAAUAUAAGUUCCGAAUAAUGGCUGCUAGUAUUUCUGGAAUAAGUGAAGCAUCACCGGAAAGUGAAGAAAUUAUGAUUGGAAAAGUAGCUGAGGAUGAACUGUUUGACCUACCAGCUAGAGGUCGGCCUACCAGACAAAUCAAGAAAAUGAGAAAAAUUCCAUCUUUUGACCGAGCUUCUCUUGACAGAAGUAUUGCUUCAAGAGAAGUUAUCCAUCCAGAAAGGAGACAUACUUCACUUGACAGAGAGGUUUAUUACGAUGCUAACAAUGUACGCCGCGAUGUUGUAACCUACAACAAGCCACCAGAACUAGACAGGCUCGGGUUCCUAGCUAACAAAUAUGAGUUGUCUAACGAAGAAAUAGCAAAAUACAGAAUGAGUAUGUCUCAACUUUGUCACAAGAUGAAAGCAAUCUCGAAUUCAAGUAUAGGUGUCCGAAGUGGUUCUAAGAUAAGUUUGGAUACUGCCACUAAACCUCUACAGAUGGAAAUAUCAAACCAAGCAAGGAAAUCGAAUUCUAUGGGUCAGCUUUGCUCUGUUCCUGGAAUACCGCAGCAUCAAUCCAAAUCCGUUUCUUCCAACUAUCUUGACAGAAAAACAAAUAUUUUAGACAAAGGUUUGCACCCAUCAGAAAGAACUGGAUUAAGCAACAACAUCGGAGACUGUAAGAAGAGUUUAUCAGAUAUCCAGGAUAGAAUUGGAUCUCUUCAGGCCCUGCUCAAAACAAGUAGAUCUCUAACCUCUAGUAAGCAAAGUUUGUUUGCAGAUCUUCCAACAUUUGCCAUUCCUAAGCUCGAAUCAAGAAAAAUUGAAAAAGUAGUUGCAGACAAGACUUUCAAAACUCACAGAAAUAACUCCUAUGCAAAUGCAAUCGAAGGGGAUCCGGUUGUAGAACUAUCAUAUCAGGAAACCCAUUUUCCUUUUAACCCUGAACUGGCUUCCCUGGGUUCUCUAGAGUGUGAUAAAUUUCCACAGAAGAACGAUGUCUCAAAUCGGAACUCACUUUUUCUAACGGAAUGCGAGGAAGAAGUGACAGUUACAGAGACAGCUGAAGCACCCUUAGAACAUAACACUGAUGAUAACAGAACACUUUCUGAGAUUACUCUUCCAGUUCUCAAACCCUGCUAGUAGAUCCUAGUUCCUCUUCUCAAACUGUACUUUGUGAGCGAUCUCUUUCUUCUUGUUCACAAGGGACCUUGGUGUCUGAUGGAGCCAGUAUGAAU